rnacentral:rRNA from 1 species
UGAGGAAUAUUGGACAAUGGAGGCAACUCUGAUCCAGCCAUGCCGCGUGAAGGACUAAGGCCCUAUGGGCUGUAAACUUCUUUAGACGCAGAGCAAUAAGGUCCACGAGUGGAUCGAUGAGAGUAUGCGUAGAAUAAGCAUCGGCUAACUCCGUGCCAGCAGCCGCGGUAAUACGGGGGAUGCAAGCGUUAUCCGGAUUCAUUGGGUUUAAAGGGUGCGUAGGCGGCUUGGCAAGUCAGCGGUGAAAGGCCCGGGCUCAACCCGGAAAGUGCCGUUGAUACUGUUAGGCUUGAAUGCGGAUGCUGUGGGAGGAAUGAGUGGUGUAGCGGUGAAAUGCAUAGAUAUCACUCAGAACACCGAUUGCGAAGGCAUCUCACAAAUCCGUGAUUGACGCUGAGGCACGAAAGCGUGGGGAUCGAACAGGA